rnacentral:tRNA from 2 species
GACCCAUUAGCUCAGUCGGUAGAGCACCUGACUUUUAAUCAGGGUGUCUGGAGUUCGAAUCUCCAAUGGGUCACCA